rnacentral:rRNA from 1 species
GACGAACGCUGGCGGCGUGCUUAACACAUGCAAGUCGAACGGAAAGGCCCUGCUUUUGUGGGGUGCUCGAGUGGCGAACGGGUGAGUAACACGUGAGUAACCUGCCCUUGACUUUGGGAUAACUUCAGGAAACUGGGGCUAAUACCGGAUAUGAGCUCCUGCUGCAUGGUGUGGGUUGGAAAGUUUCGGCGGUUGGGGAUGGACUCGCGGCUUAUCAGCUUGUUGGUGGGGUAGUGGCUUACCAAGGCUUUGACGGGUAGCCGGCCUGAGAGGGUGGACGGCCACAAUGGGACUGAGAGACGGACCAGACGCCUACGGGAGGCAGCAGUGGGGAAUAUUGCACAAUGGGCGGAAGCCUGAGGCAGCAACGCCGCGUGCGGGAUGACGGCCUUCGGGUUGUAAACCGCUUUCGCCUGUGACGAAGCGUGAGUGACGGUAAUGGGUAAAGAAGCACCGGCUAACUACGUG